UACGUAGGGUGCAAGCGUUGUCCGGAAUUAUUGGGCGUAAAGAGCUCGUAGGCGGUUUGUCGCGUCGAAUGUGAAAACCCGGGGCUCAACCCCGGGCCUGCAUUCGAUACGGGCAGACUAGAGUUCGGUAGGGGAGUCUGGAAUUCCUGGUGUAGCGGUGAAAUGCGCAGAUAUCGGGAGGAACACCGGUGGCGAAGGCGGGUCUCUGGGCCGUUACUGACGCUGAGGAGCGAAAGCGUGGGGAGCGAACAGG
rnacentral:rRNA from 1 species